rnacentral:tRNA from 1 species
GCCGCCUUAGCUCAGCCGGUAGAGCAUCGCAUUCGUAAUGCGAGGGUCAGGUUUUCGAGUCACCUAGGCGGCACCA